UAUAAAGUUGAUAGUUUAUUUUCAUUUCACAGAUAGUAAAACAAAACCUUAAAACAAUUUAAUAACUUUCCAAAGACUGCAUAGCUACUUACUAGCUGGGUACUGAUGAACAAUAAAAUGUGCUAAACAGAGAGAAAGCAGCAAUAUCCAGUCUCAGUGCAGGUUCACAAGAUGGACUGGGUGGUUAAUUUUUCGUUCUUUUUAAUUUAUUAUUUUUCACAUAACAUCAUUUUAAAAACUUUAUACAUAUACAUUGUGUUGUGAUCCUAUCCACUCCUCCCUCUCUCUCCCCUCCCCUGCCUUGCACAUGCCCUUCUUCUUAGUUUUCUCACUUUUUGUUGUUGUUGAUAUUGUUGGUCCUAACAUUUAUUUAAUAAGGUUUGCUUGGAUGAGCUUAGAGAGAGGGUUAUUUAUUGAAGCAUGGGCCCCUUGCCAAUUCUUAUGACACUGGAGAAAAUGAUACCUCUCUCCCCCUGCAACAAUGACCUGUCAAUAGCUCUUUAGGGAGAGAGGCAUCAUAACCAGCCGCUCAGUCCCUGAUCCGUGAUGUAAUGUUGAAGGACCAGAUUUCUGCAGGGUUUGUGCAGUAUCAACCUGGGUAGUGAGCUCAGGAUUACAAGGACAGGGUUACACCAAGAACACAGGGUGUGUUCCUUUUUUGUUGUUUGUUUAUUGUUUGUUAUGAAAAUAAAAAUUAUUCUCAGAGUAUAUUGUUGAAGACAGAGUCCAAAUAGUAGUAUAUAAGGACACAGAGUAUAUGCUUUAGUGCCAUAGAAUGGAAAUAUAUUACAAUGUAUAAUAAUGUUUGCCAGGUUUUGCAUGUACAAAAUAUAGAUACUUUUCAGGAAUUAUAUAGAGGACUUGAUAUAUAUAUUGAAUUCAAUUUCAUGCUUUUUUAAUGAUUUUUUAAAUUAUAAGCUCACAUGUUAUUGCAUGGGUGUGUGUUCCUGUGUGUUUGAGCGUGUUUGUGUGCACACACAUGACCAUUCUAUGUAUCUCUAUAGCAGUCAAAAGCCACACAACAACAUGCUGAAUCAGACAAGCUAUUAUAUAUUUUCAUAAUAUAGAACUUUAAGGUAUAGUAAUCAACAGUGGCAAAAUAUUUGUCUUUGAUAUUAGUUGUGUGUGUGUGUGUGUGUGUGUGUGUGUGUGUGUCAGAUCUAACCUAUGAACCAUCGUGUAAAUAUAAAUUAAAAAAGAUGACAUUCUUAAUAAAUAAAGUUAACUAUUUACAUUUUUAUAUAUUGCUGAAAGACUUAACUUAGAUCCAUAAAAACACAUAAACAGGAAAAAUAAAUCCCAAAACAAGAGCAGCACAUUUCUGCGCGCGAGGUGCAGGAAGAAGGUUGGGGUUGUAUUUAGUUUUUGCUGUUUACUUUGCUUUAAUCUUUCUUUUCUCUCUCUUUCUUCCUUUCUUUCAUUUUUUGUUUCUUUUUAUUUCUUUCUUUGUUUUACAGUAGACCAGUGGAAUUCUCAUGAGAACAGAUUCUAAGCACUUCAAUGAAAAGUCAUAUUUUUUGGUUGCUUCCAGAAGAUGCUAAACAGAUCCUAACAUCAUAAUAAUUAGAAAUACCCUCAAUAAUUACGACAGUAAUAAAAAGGUAAAUAUGAUACAUAAAUAUGGAAGAGCAGUUUGUAAUAUGAAUACAUUUUCUCUAGACGAGAUCACAGUUUUGUAAAUAUUACAUUUAAGUAUAUAUAUACACACAUAUAUGUACAGCUAUAUAUACAUGUGCAUAUAUAUGUAAAUUUUUAUUUAUAUAUAAUAUCUUUAUAUAGAUAGAUAUCUGCAGAAAGGUUAUUGAUUAUAGAGACCCAAGAAAGCAACUCAAUAAUUGUUCAAAGUUCUCCUCACUAGCUGCUGGUGUGAAGUUGAAGAAGCCCAACUUGCACUCAGGAUGUUAUCUCUUCUCUUAAUGAAGCCUGUGAUUUGGAAACUAAGUCUGAGAAGUGAGGAUUCUGUUGAAGAAGAAAUGGCAGACCUUCUCAGUCUGUAACUUGGAAAUGCCUCCACCCCCAAUCUUAGCAUUCCUAGCUAGAUGACAGUAGACUGACUUUUAUACUGUAGGAAGCCACUGGAUUUUGAUCAAAUCAUUGGAUUGGUAAAUGCCAGAAUAAUGGAGGGAAAUCUUAUCCAAAGAGUAAACUAUUCCCCAGUACACUCACUUAAGGUGGAUGGUAAUCCAGACCCUCCAGCUUUGUGCCUUGAAAUGUCAUUCAAGCACUCCCUGUCUCUGAAAAGGGCAGUGAGCCUGUACGUUUUUGAAAAAAAAAAAAACAAAAAAAAAGGGGGGAGGAAACUAUGGAUUUUGCAUCAGGCUGUGUCUCCUAUAGAUUGGACAGUCCGUUUAAAAUCCUCAGGGCAUCAUGAUCCUCCCACUGUGAGGUAGGUAAGUAGCAGUAUCCCCAAUUUUCAGCUAGAGAAAAUGAGGCAAAUGUGGAGGCAAUUAGAUGACUUAUCCAAGAACACCGAGUGAAUUGAUGGCUGCAGGCAAGCAUUCUGGGGCUUUGGGCCAGACACAUCAACUUCUAUCUUGGUCAUUAUUACCUUGCUUUUACAGAGGAAAUGAUAGCUAGGAAUUUGGAAAACUUGAAUAAAUCAAAAAGAGGCAUUUCAUGCAAUUUGUUCUCUGUAUUACCUGUUUACUUGGUUUGAUCCUUUCUCAGUAUUCAGUGGGAUCACCUGCCUGGUCAUGGAGCAGCUCUGAAGAACAGAGCUAUGCAGU
rnacentral:lncRNA from 1 species